GCCCCAGCUGUGGAGCGUGCUCGGCUCCGACGAGGGUCUUGCACGCGGUGACUUUUUUUGCCUGAUCUGAGAAUCAAGAGGUGGGCCAAAGUGUCUAAUAAUAUGUUUGCUGAGGAACAAAAGAAAACAGGCACAAAUAAUAAUUGGUCAUGGAUAUGGAUAGAAUAUUAUCAUCUCUGAUGAUGGAACCAAGGCUCUGAGAGCUCAAGAAAUAGAGCUAUAGGUGGAAUCAGGUUUGAAGUCCAUGUGGUCAAGUGUCAGAGUUCAUCAGAGCUUCACCAAUGGAGACUGCAACCACUCUUCCAGAACCCUGAGCCUUGCUAAGAUGGAGGAGCCCCAAAGGAAGCAGAAAGAUUCCACCUUGAGAAGCUCAGAGUUGUAAAGAAGGCAACACUGUACAAAGUGAAGAGUGGAGAUGGAAAAUGUGGGUCUCUACUAUUGAUGCUAUUUAUGGUGAGAGUUGGACCAUAAAGAAGGCUGAGCACUGAAGAAUUGAUGCUUCUGAACUGUGGUGAUGGAGAAGACUCUUGAGAGCCCCUUGGACUGCAAGAGAUCAAACCAAUCAAUCCUAAAGGAAAUCAACCCUGAGUAUUCGUUGGAAGGACUGAUGCUGAAACUGAAGCUCCAAUCCUUUGGCCACCUGAUGUGAAGAGCCGCCUCACCGGAAAAGACCCCGAUGCUAGGAGAGACAGAGGGCAGGAGGAGAGUGGGGCGACAGAAGAUGAGAUGCUUGGAUGGCAUCACCAACUCAAUGGACAUGAAUUUGAGCAAACUCUCGGGGAUGGUGAAGUACGGGGAAACCUGGCGUCCGUGGGGUCUCAAAGAGUCAGACACAACUGAGCGACUGAACAACAGCAACAAAUGCUACUUAUAAGUCUGUACUUUUUUGUGCCUCAUUGCUUAAUGUCUCCUUUUUAUUUCUGAGAUUCAGUAGUCUAAGCAUGUAGCUUUGCUAUCCUCCAGACUUACUUGUUUUGACUUUCUAUCUUAGUUUCCUAACUUUAUUAAAUUCUGGAGAGUUCUGUGUUUAUGCAUGCAUGCUCAGUUGCUUCAGUUAUGUCUGACUCUUUACGACCCCAUGGACUGUAGCCCGCCAGGAUCUUCUGUCCAUGGGAUUCUCCAGGCAAGAUUAGUGAAGUUACCAUUUCCUUCUCCAGGGGAUCUUCCUGACCUAGGGAUCGAACCCACGUCUUAUGUGUCUCUUGCAUUGGAAGGCAGGUUCUUUACCACUAGUGCCACCUGGGAAGCCCUCUUCUAUGUUCAUAUCAUUUGCAACAUUUGCCUCUCUUCUAUUCUCACUAAUGUCUUCUCAUGGUGUACCAGUUACGCAUAUGUUGAACCUUCUCACUCUAUCCUGCAUGUCUGUUCAUUUCUUUUUCACAUUAUUUUUUUUUAUCAUAUUGCCCAUAGUUUUCUCAGUAAAAUCUACCAAUUCAUUAACACCCUUUCUAUAUUCAUAUAAUCUUAACAUAUUCAAUAAUUGUUAAAUUCUAGUGACUAUUUCUUUUGGAGAAGGAAAUGGCAGCCUACUCCAGUAUUCCUGCCUGGAGAAUCCCCAUGGAUAGAAGAGCCUGGCAGGCUACAGUCCGUGGGGUCGCCAAGAGUCAGACACAACUUAGCAACUAAACCACCAACCACUAUAUUCAGUAACUUAAAUUCUAGUGGCUGUAUUUCUUUUCUACAAAUUUCUUUUUUCUUUUGAAAAUUUGCUUGGCAAUUUUCGUAGUAACAUAUCUUUCUCAUGUUCUUGUUUAGUGUAUAUACUUUAAUUAUUUAACGUGUUUAUUUUAUUGUUGUGUCUGAUAAUCUUGUUCUUGGAGGUGGGGUCCAGUCAUACCUUUUUUCUCUGCUGAUCUUUUUCAUGGUAAUUUUUUUCCAUGUGUGUCUUAGAACUUUAGAAUGUGAGCUUAUCUUCCCAGGAUUUAUGUGUAGUAAUCCUAUGUAAUUUGAUUUAAGGUAUCCUAGGAUUGUAACUAGUCUAGGUCCAUAUUUAUGUUGAUUUAUUGGUAUGUAGCUCACAGACUUACAAUGAUAUUGUCAAUUCAAACUUCAAAAUUGUGUGAUCAGAUCUAUGAUUAUAAAUUUACAACAAAUUAUUAACGUUUCUCAACAAAAGCCUUGGCUGAGACCAAAAGUUUUCCUUGUCACCUUCCUAUGUUAGGGACAGAUAACUUUUAGUUUACCUUUUCCAUUUGUGUAAAUAAUUUCUAACUGCCUAUCUUUUUGUAGGCUCAAUUCCCUACAUGCCAUUUCAGCAUGGAUUUAUGCUCAGUUAAUUUCCAAGCCUCUGGUUCAUCAGGAUUCACAAACCUCUCUUUGAAAGACAUUCUUUUUUUAUUCAGUUUCCUUUCUUUCCUUUUUGUCCUCUGGAGACUCCCCCCAUUUUCUUGUGAGUGUAGCUGUGUGUGUUAAAAUGCUGUUUGCUGUCUUUCAUUUAUAGUUUCUGUAAUUUUGCAUUGAAAAGCUUUGCAUUUACUGUCCUGUUUUCAGAAAACCUUUUCAAGGUGAUAUUAAACCACAUUACUUUGUCUACAGCUUUACAAACUCUUUUAAAAUAUUUUGGUAUUAAUUUUGAAGAUAUUUUAAUAGCUUCA